GAUGAACGCUGGCGGCGUGCCUAAUACAUGCAAGUCGAGCGAACAGAUGAGGAGCUUGCUCCUCUGACGUUAGCGGCGGACGGGUGAGUAACACGUGGAUAACCUACCUAUAAGACUGGGAUAACUUCGGGAAACCGGAGCUAAUACCGGAUAAUAUAUUGAACCGCAUGGUUCAAUAGUGAAAGACGGUUUUGCUGUCACUUAUAGAUGGAUCCGCGCCGCAUUAGCUAGUUGGUAAGGUAACGGCUUACCAAGGCAACGAUGCGUAGCCGACCUGAGAGGGUAAUCGGCCACACGGAAACUGAGAAACGGUCCAGAUUCCUACGGGAGGAAGCAGUAGGGAAUUUUCCGAAAUGGGCGAAAGCCUGACGGAGCAACGCCGCGUGAGUGAUAAAGGUCUUCGGAUCGUAAAACUCUGUUAUUAGGAAAGAAAAAAUGUGUAAGUAACAAUGAACGUCUUGACGGUACCAAACCAGAAAACAACGGCUAACUACGU
rnacentral:rRNA from 1 species